rnacentral:rRNA from 1 species
GCGUGGGGAGCAAACCAGGGAUAGAUACCUGUAGUUCACGCGGUAAACCGAUGAUACUAGUGUGGGGGCAAAGCUCUCGGUGCCGCGGCUAACGCAUAAGUAUUCCACCUGGGGGAGUACGUUCGCAAGAAUAAAACUCAAAGGGAAUUGACGGGGACCCGCACAAGCGGUGGAGCAUGUGGUUUAAUUCGAAGCAACGCGAAGAACCUUUACCAGGUCUUGACAUCGAUCUGAAUGUGAUGCAAAAGUCGCAGCCCUUCGGGGCAGAGAAGACAGGUGGUGCAUGGUUGUCGUCAGCUCGUGUCGUGAGAUGUUGGGUUAAGUCCCGCAACGAGCGCAACCCUUGUCCUAAGUAGCCAGCGGUUCGGCCGGGCACUCUUGGGAGACCGCCGGGGAUAACCCGGAGGAAGGUGGGGAUGACGUCAAAUCAUCAUGCCCCUUAUGAUCUGGGCUACACACGUGCUACAAUGGCGUAAACAAAGGGAGGCGAAGGAGCGAUCCGGAGCAAAUCCCAAAAAUAACGUCUCAGUUCGGACUGCAGGCUGCAACUCGCCUGCACGAAGCUGGAAUCGCUAGUAAUCGCGGAUCAGCAUGCCGCGGUGAAUACGUUCCCGGGUCUUGUACACACCGCCCGUCACACCAUGGGAGUCGGUAAUGCCCGAAGCCAGUGGCUCAACCUUUUGGAGGGAGCUGUCGAAGGCAGGACUGAUAACUGGGGUGAAGUCGUAACAAGGUAA